CACGCGUUGCUCCCCGCGCGCCGCGCCCCGCGCGCCCACCGCAUGUGUAGGUGCUGAGUGCGGGUGCCGCGGCAUGGUCGUCGCCAACUCAAGGGAAGUCUUCUCCACAGACGUCGCUGACUACGCCAUCGGCUUGCUGCUCGACGUACUCUGGCACGUGUCUGCGGCAGAGCGGUACGUCCAGCACGGGUCCUGGCUGGUGCAGGGCGACCAUCCCCUCGGAUCCAAGGAACAGGGGAGCGUACUUGUUUAAAGACCCGAUGAACACGCCUGGUCAUGGGAAUGCAAAUCUCACGAGUGAAAAUCCGCGAGGACAAAAAUUGAAGGGUGUACAAAGUUGGUAUGCCUAAGUGUACGAUGAGAAAAGAACGGAAUAAAACCAGAAGCGGCUUACAACCCGGUCAGAAAAGGAGGCCCUAUAUAGGAUCUUUACUUGGGAGAUAAGGAGGAGAAAAAGCAGAGGUCCUCUUCACAGGAUAGACUUUUUAUGUGUCAUGUCAACAAUGGUGUAUGAUAAGAAGUCCAAGCAGGUUGCAUAUGAGGUGAAUCAAGGAAGUUGGUACGAUAUGCAGCCUUCAAACCAUAGAUUAUAUACUGACAAGUUCUUAGCAACCAUGGCUCCACCCACAACCUGGAGGAGGCGGCUCCACCGACAACGUGCUUUCCCUCAAUUUGUUCAAAUACCAUGCCAUUUUGUAUUUGUACAACUUUUAUGGAGGGAGUGCAGCAUACCUAGGACUCACCAUGACGACGUGCAUUCUAAGAAAAGCAUAAUCAAAUUCCUAUAACUUAAGAAAUAAGAUCCAUUUAUGACUAGCGGGACAAUGGAAUUGAUUGUACAAAAUCUUUCUUUCAUAGCAAUUAUCCAUGUUGAUAAAGUAUU